rnacentral:rRNA from 1 species
UAGGGAAUCUUCCGCAAUGGACGAAAGUCUGACGGAGCAACGCCGCGUGAGUGAUGAAGGCCUUCGGGUCGUAAAACUCUGUUGUUAGGGAAGAACAAGUACCGUUCGAAUAGGGCGGUACCUUGACGGUACCUAACCAGAAAGCCACGGCUAACUACGUGCCAGCAGCCGCGGUAAUACGUAGGUGGCAAGCGUUGUCCGGAAUUAUUGGGCGUAAAGCGCGCGCAGGCGGUUCCUUAAGUCUGAUGUGAAAGCCCACGGCUCAACCGUGGAGGGUCAUUGGAAACUGGGGAACUUGAGUGCAGAAGAGGAAAGCGGAAUUCCACGUGUAGCGGUGAAAUGCGUAGAGAUGUGGAGGAACACCAGUGGCGAAGGCGGCUUUCUGGUCUGUAACUGACGCUGAGGCGCGAAAGCGUGGGGAGCAAACAGG